GGAUUAGCUCAGCUGGGAGAGCGCCUGAUUUGCAUUCUGAGGGUCGCAGGUUCGAUUCCUGUCGCCUCCACU
rnacentral:tRNA from 1 species